rnacentral:rRNA from 1 species
UACGGAGGGUGCAAGCGUUAUCCGGAUUUACUGGGUUUAAAGGGUGCGUAGGUGGGUAGGAAAGUCAGUGGUGAAAUCUUCGGGCUUAACCCGGAAACUGCCAUUGAUACUAUUUAUCUUGAAUACUUUGGAGGUAAGCGGAAUAUGUCAUGUAGCGGUGAAAUGCUUAGAUAUGACAUAGAACACCAAUUGCGAAGGCAGCUUAACUACACAGUUAUUGACACUGAGGCACGAAAGCGUGGGGAUCAA